UUGCUAAACAAAAUAACAAAAGGUUAAAUUUGCACGUUCCGUAGUUCCUUUUUCGGCUGGCCUCUUCCGGCCUUGGGUGCAACUGGUAAUUCACGUGUGCGUGCGCGUCCGGCCAUCCCCCGUUCCCUGGGCCAGCUGAGGCGAAGCGUAAAUCCCCCGGGGGAACUGGUGGCCGAAUAUGUGAGGCUAGCAGGCAGUCGCGUGUGUUGUGUAUAUGUGGUGACCCAGCAUCGCGGACACAAGGACACAUUCUCGAAGCGAAGUGGUUGUUACACCACCGUGUCCGGGGGGGGACAAGGGCGUAGAAGCUUCCGUUCGCCGCCGUGUGUGUGUGUGUUUGUUUGUGUCUGUUUGUUCGCUCGUUCGCGACAGGGCGUGUGCGAAGUGGCCUUCCGGGCUUACCGUUCUUAAUGAUUGGCCCCACACCGACGGCUCGUCGCACCGAUUGCGCGCCCGACUGCACGGCCGAUCCUUUUUCGGUGCGCUGCGCGUACAUUGGUUGUGACUGGUUGGGCGAUCUUUUCUAACAUCCUUCCUCUCAGCACGUCCCCGCCCAGGCACCCCUCAUCUUUGCCCCUAUUAACACACCACACACACAUACACAUUCAAAAGCACAGGAAGAGGCGCGGUAGACGCGGUAGAAGAUUAGCAAGUGUUACGUUCGGCAAGCCACCCUCUCCUCCGCGCUUGCUUCCAACCUCGCAACCUUCGGCCUCCCUUUCCACUUCCUCGCUGACACGGUGCAAGCAAUGAACAGCAGCUUCCCAGCGGCAAUACCGUACUCAAACGAUGGUGGCCACCGUAGCAAGCCGACGAGCGCAACCCACAACAACAACGGCUCGUGCGUGAACGAUGCGCACGGCAGCGACGAGGACGAGGAGCAGGCGCACGGGCAGGAUCGGUUCGCGUUUGCCUGCGAUGAGCCGCCGCCGGACGGUCGGUUGCAGCCGUCCGACAGCCUGGAGGACGACCUGGAAGAGGUGUACAGGACGUGCAACACGCAGUCGGCGGUGGAGUGGAUCAACGACGACGAUGAGCUGGAGCGGUUGGAUCUGCCGCUCGAAUCGCUCGACCCCACCGGUGGUGGCACGGUCUUCAACCGGGUGGACAGCUCGGACAUCAUCUACCAGGAGAAGAAGAAAAAGUGCAAGCUGGUCGGCAAGUACGUGAUGGGGGACGUGCUUGGCGAGGGAAGCUACGGCAAGGUGAAGGAGGUGCUCGAUUCCGAAACGCUUAAUCGACGGGCGGUGAAGAUACUCACCAAACGCAAACUACGACGCAUUCCAAAUGGCGAGCAGAAUGUGCGGAGCGAGAUCAAGCUGCUGCGCAAGCUGCAGCACCGGAACGUGAUCGAGCUGCUGGACGUGCUGUACAACGAGCAGAAGCAGAAGAUGUAUCUGAUCAUGGAGUACUGCGUCGGGGGGCUGCAGGAGAUGCUGGACUCGGUGCCGGACAAGCGGCUACCGAUACACCAGGCGCACGACUACUUCGUCCAGCUGCUGGACGGGCUGGAGUAUCUGCACGGUCGCGGCAUCAUACACAAGGACAUCAAGCCGGGCAAUCUGCUGCUAACGCUGGACCACACGCUGAAGAUUUCCGACUUUGGUGUGGCGGAGGCACUGGACACUUUCGCACCCACGGACGAAUGCACGACCGGGCAAGGUUCGCCCGCCUUUCAGCCGCCGGAAAUAGCGAACGGACACGAGGUAUUCUCAGGAUUUAAAGUUGAUAUCUGGAGCACGGGCGUUACACUGUACAAUAUAACUACCGGAUUGUAUCCGUUCGAAGGUGAUAAUAUUUAUAAACUGUUAGAAAACAUAGGCAAAUGUGAAUGGAAUCCGCCGGAAUGGUUAGAGCCGCGGCUGGCCGACUUGCUCGUAAACAUACUGCAGGCGGAUCCCCGAAGACGCUUCACCCUGCAGCAGAUCCGGCACCAUGAAUGGUUCCAGUUUGCACCGGAUGCGACCAGCCCCCUCGUACCGAUACCACCGUUGAAAGGCGAUUGGAAUAGAUGUUCCACCGUGCUGCCUUACCUGAUAGCUCAUCACUAUGGAAACGAUCGUGACAUGCCGUACUACACCGAGCACGACAUUAAUGAAAUGGCACGGCAACAGUACGAUUCGUACACGGAGGGUGGACUGUACGACCGUGCCUACCUGCCCGCACCGACCAUGGACUCCCUGUCGUUUCACACCGACGACCAGGGCAGCGAGACGGGCCUAAGGCGUGCCUACUACAACCAGCCGAACAGUGGCAGCGGUCGUUCGACGGUCGAGAAGCGUCCGUCCCGCAGCUUCUCGCUGUCGCCGAAGCCGAGCAUCCGGCACAUGAUCGGCACCAGCUGCCCGGCCACGACGGCCAACAGCAGCAGCAGCAGCAGCGGCAAGCGGCGCUCGCGCAAAACUGUUUCGUGCAUAUCUUGGCGCAAGUGGCCCCAUUGCCGGCAGUCCUGAAUACUCCCCCGCCCCGAGGGGUUGGUGGUGUGCGGUAAGCGGUGGUGGAUAGAUGUUGUAUAUGUUUUUGUUCAUUCUGUUCGUAUCAGUACUAAGUUUUACUUUUGAAUAAGCUAAGCCGGUGGUAAACCAGGACGACACAGACCUCAGAUGACGCCGAGACGCGACGCGGCAGGAUCGGAAGAGCAAAAAAUUAAAAGUGAAUCAAUGCAAGGAAUUAUUAUUUAAACUCAGGUUUCGUUAGGCAUCCGGGUGCGUGCGCAACCCGACGGUGCGCAGAAUGCAAUCACGCAAGGAUGUGUGCGCAAGGAGGAUUGUUUGCGAAGCGUGAAUGAUGCGUGAAUUUGCCGAUCACGUUUCAAGUAGCUAGUGUAUUUUUUUGAAUUCCACAGUCAAACAAAAAAAUCUCCCAACAAUACAAUUAAUGCAUCAUUUUGCGUUUUCAAGCUGUGUAUAGUAGUUAGGUUGCAAGGCGGUAGAUCUUUGCAUCAGUUUUCCGUUUAAAUGCCUGCCCUCGAGCGUGUCCUCGUACCAUCCGCAAGUCGCAUGUGCUCGCAACAGUGUGCUGAGGCUGGUCAUAGAUGCGUUAAAGUGUAUUACGAUUUUCUUUUGUUUCAUUUUUCUCCAAUUCUAUAUUGUAACCAAAGCGAUUCAGCAAUCCAUUAUUGCUUCACUGCAGGUGUAAAGUUGUACAGUUUGCUUUGCCAAUAGCUGCUGUACCACAGCGAUUGUGUCUUGCCUUUUGCGAUGGAGUUGGCACGGUGGUGCUGCGCACUGUCGGAUUCGUUUGCGUAUCAAUCUCAGGCGGCAUCUUGACGAUCGAUCCUCCCGCCGCUGGCCCACUCCACUGCUUAUGUGAUGUGGCAGUAGCAUAAGCCCUCAGUUUCUCAGUCAUCUAGCAGCGAGCUAUUAUUAUAGAUAAUAAUAAUGGGAUAGGAAUGUUCGAGAAUGGCCGAACCGUUAACAGCGAUGUAAAUCGACCCGCGGUCGAAGUUUCCUAGUCACGGUAAGAAAUCAUUUCGAGUGGGUACAGGCGCAACAAACAUGUUCUCUCGUAGAAAGUGAUUCUGAACUAAGGAAGUGUGAAGGAAGGGGGGGAAAUGGGAGCACGAAGAGAGCGGGGGGCCUAGUACAGUUUGUAAUUUAUGCGAAGUGAAUCGAUCAAAAAAGCGUUACACAUUUCGGUAGCAGCAUGCAACUAUCGCAUUGCAUAUUUUGCAUCCAAAACCAGUCUUCCUUGCCAUAAUGAGACACAGAGACAAACACGAGACAAACACGAGAAAAAGUAGAAAACGCCACGCAUGGGCUAAUUGCCUUACGUUUGUUGUUGGUGGGCUUUACACGUCCGAUACGCCGGCGCGGAAAAUAUACAUUACAAAUUAAAGCGUUUUGCUCCAGCAAGAGAGCCGGGCUCACUGUUAGCGCCAUGUAGACAGAGCACGUGCUGUAAAGAUGCAUACACACAUACACAGACACAGACACAGAAAGCCUCAUUGCCAUAUAGCAAAAACCAGCAAAAUGUUCGUAGUUUAGUUCGCAGUUGCAUACACAGGACAGAAUGGAUCGAUGCGUCCGGAAUUGAUGCGCCGUUAAUAACAAGCCGAUGCAAGCAAUUAGUUAAGCCUAAGCCUGCUUAAGCGACCCACAAACAAACACAUCCACAAAACGUGGUGAGAUCACACACACACACGACACUAAUAGAGAGCGAGCGAGAGGACGAUAUACUUUUUUUAAAAUAUAAAUUAUCAUUAAAGAAACAGAAUUGAAAAAUGACUUGAAAAUAAAAACAAUCGUUUGUGUGUAAGAGAGAAAAUAGUUUGUACACCGUACAGCCGUUUGGUGUUUUAUCGCUUGUUUGCUAGAGCAUGCGUGUGUGUUGGUUUGGUCCAUCUAGUUAACUAGGAGUUUCAAGUCCUUUUCAAACAAGCUGUCAGCGUCACAGCAGGCCAACGGAAUCCACAACGUUCAAUCAAGCAUACCACACGCUCCCACCAUGGAGGCUAGCAGUGGCAGUAAAAUACGACCGCUGGUACAGUUUGACAUUGACGCCCGGCUAAAGAGCAUCAAGCGGAUAUGCACCGAGCUGGCGGCCAGCGAACGAUGGUGUGAGGAUAAACUGUCCAACAUAAGCCGAUUGCAUCGCACAAUGCUGGAAAUGAUGAAGGACGACAAUGUGAGCAUACCGCCCGGAAUGAUGAUAGUGGACCAUCCGGACGGUGAGUCGGAAGCAGUGGCGGUAAUGCGGCUACUGCAGCUGCUGCUUGAACAGAAGCGCUCUCUGGAGGAGAAAACCCAACGGCUGGAGGCAGCUAUUAGAGCGUUUAAGGAGCAGUUUGAAAAACUAUUUUAACGAUGGCGAAGUAGGAGGGUAGUAUUGUGGAA